CAAUAAGAGUGUUUAUGGCACUCUUCAAAAAUCCAUACCCACCUUGUGUGCAACGUAAGAAGAAAAAAAGAAGAUGCGAGUCAUGGGGAAACCUAAGUCUUGCUCCCUUUCUUUUUUCUUUUCCACAUACACCUUUCUAUUAGUUCCUAUUGUCUGAAGCUGUUAGAGAAUGACUAAUUCUUAAACA
rnacentral:misc_RNA from 1 species